rnacentral:rRNA from 1 species
UACGGGGGGGGCAAGCGUUGUUCGGAAUUACUGGGCGUAAAGGGUCUGUAGGUGGCCAACUAAGUCAGACGUGAAAUCCCUCAGCUUAACUGGGGAACUGCGUCUGAUACUGGUUGGCUUGAGUGCAGGAGAGGAAUGCGGAAUUCCAGGUGUAGCGGUGAAAUGCGUAGAUAUCUGGAGGAACACCGAUGGCGAAGGCAGCCUCCUGGACGGGUACUGACGCUGAGGCGCGAAAGCGUGGGGAGCGAACGGGG